UACAGAGGUCCCAAGCGUUGUUCGGAUUCACUGGGCGUAAAGGGUGCGUAGGCGGUCGGGCAAGUCUGACGUGAAAUCUCCGGGCCUAACCCGGAAACUGCGCUGGAAACUGCCCGGCUAGAGGAAUGGAGGGGAGACUGGAAUACUUGGUGUAGCAGUGAAAUGCGUAGAUAUCUGGAGGAACAUCAGUGGCGAAGGCGGCUUCCUGGUCCAACAUUGACAUUCAGGUGCGAAAGCGUGGGGAGCAAACAGG
rnacentral:rRNA from 1 species